GACGAACGCUGGCGGCGUGCUUAACACAUGCAAGUCGAACGAAGAGCGAUGGAAGCUUGCCUCUAUCAAUCUUAGUGGCGAACGGGUGAGUAACGCGUAAUCAACCUGCCCUUCAGAGGGGGACAACAGUUGGAAACGACUGCUAAUACCGCAUACGAUCUAAUCUCGGCAUCGAGGAAAGAUGAAAGGUGGCCUCUAUUUAUAAGCUAUCACUGAAGGAGGGGAUUGCGUCUGAUUAGCUAGUUGGAGGGGUAACGGCCCACCAAGGCGAUGAUCAGUAGCCGGUCUGAGAGGAUGAACGGCCACAUUGGGACUGAGACACGGCCCAGACUCCUACGGGAGGCAGCAGUGGGGAAUCUUCCGCAAUGGACGAAAGUCUGACGGAGCAACGCCGCGUGAGUGAUGACGGCCUUCGGGUUGUAAAGCUCUGUUAAUCGGGACGAAAGGCCUUCUUGCGAACAGUUAGAAGGAUUGACGGUACCGGAAUAGAAAGCCACGGCUAACUACGU
rnacentral:rRNA from 1 species